rnacentral:rRNA from 1 species
AACGAACGCUGGCGGCAUGCCUAACACAUGCAAGUCGAACGAAGCCUUCGGGCUUAGUGGCGCACGGGUGCGUAACGCGUGGGAAUCUGCCCUUGGGUUCGGAAUAACAGUUAGAAAUGACUGCUAAUACCGGAUGAUGACGAAAGUCCAAAGAUUUAUCGCCCAAGGAUGAGCCCGCGUAGGAUUAGGUAGUUGGUGGGGUAAAGGCUCACCAAGCCGACGAUCCUUAGCUGGUCUGAGAGGAUGAUCAGCAACACUGGGACUGAGACACGGCCCAGACUCCUACGGGAGGCAGCAGUGGGGAAUAUUGGACAAUGGGCGAAAGCCUGAUCCAGCAAUGCCGCGUGAGUGAUGAAGGCCUUAGGGUCGUAAAGCCCUUUUACCAGGGACGAUAAUGACAGUACCUGGAGAAUAAGCUCCGGCUAACUCCGUGCCAGCCGCCGCAGUAAGAC